rnacentral:misc_RNA from 1 species
AAUGAAGCCGGGAAACCGGUCCUUCUAACCCUUAAUUAUAAUAAUUCGUUGCUUUGGUGGGCCGCGCAAGCACUGGCUUCGGCUGGAUCGUGCCCGCCAGAGGACCACAACUCUGUAUCAAAUGUCGUCUGAGUACUAUAAAAUAGUUAAAACUUUCAACAACGGAUCUCUUGGUUCU